rnacentral:snRNA from 1 species
ACCUCGGCAGCAGGUAUACUAUAAAAUUGGAAUGACACAGAGGAGAUUAGCAUGGCUCCCUUUGCAAGGAAGAUCCACAGAUUCAUGCAGCAUUCCAAAUUCUU